GCGCAAUUCCUUACGGUUGAGACGGUUCAGUGACUGAUGCUAGCACUCCUUUGUGGGGUUUGCAAGACGAAGAAAAUGGUAGCGUAGUUGGAUGGGUUUUAACCCAUAAUUUGUUUGUAGACCAUCAAUGCCUUUGCAUUUCUCAUUCAAUCACUACAACCACUUCCGUGGAAGAACAUACAUUCCUUGUUAUGGAGUACAUACAUGAUUUGAUGGUAGGACAAGAGGGAGAUAGUGAUGAAGUUAACAAUGAAUUCUUUUGAUAAUUAAGUACUACUUGGAC
rnacentral:lncRNA from 1 species